CGGGGAUCGUAGUCCUGACCGCCCAUCCGCCGCCACCGCCGCUCCACAGGGCCCCGCGGGGGCCGGCGGCGGCGGCCGGGGGAGGAGGAGAGAGAGGAGGAGGAGGAGGACUACGGCUCCCAGCAGGGCUGGCGGAGAUGAACAUCAAAUGAGCACACGGAGUUCCAGAGGCUGAUCCUUGGAGAAUCCACGUGUGACAGAAAGGAUGGAUAAUCUCUUGGUUGGGCUCCAGCCCAGGGAAGCCUGUCUGUGGUUGUUCCAGGCUGAUGGACGAAAAGGGCAUAGCAUUUACUCUGCCAGGGCGUUACAUGCAAUCUUUUAUUUCAUUUAUAUAUCCGUGGCAACGAUCCUGUUUCCUUCUUUUGAAUACACAUGACUGCGCAUAGCAGAUCAUGCCUAGAAAAUACUGUGGCUUUGAAGUCAGAAAUUAACCUAAUUAGUGCUGGGAUUUGCUAAACAAAGUUAGCCUCUGAUCACAAAACUAUAUGGGCUCCUACCACCUUGAGUUCAGUUAUUUAAGUGGGUGUUCAGCAUGGUCGGUCUAGGCCCAGCUGGUUAGGAUUCUGAAAAACAGCUGAAUUAUAAUCAGAUAGGACUCCUGUGGCUGCAGCCCACUGAGUUAAAAAUUUGACUUAAAACUAAGGUAAAACAAUGUGUUUUCUUGAUUAAAAGCAAACUCGAGUUUUAAGAUACACGUUAAGUAAGAUACAUGUGGCCUUAUAGCAUUCUUACAUAUGGUACAUGAAUCAGGAAUACUGUACAUGAAUGAGAAAUGUAGAUGUUGUGGGCAUGUGAUGGCCCAGCAGAGGAAGAAAUACUGAUGCUGUAAACAAAGAUUGGUGAGUUGAGUCUCUCUUCCCAAACCUAUUUCCCUCCUUCUAUAAAUAAAUUUGGUGCACAGAGUGCAAAUUAGGUCACGGCAUUAUUGCUUCCUCUUCACAGAGAAGGAUGUUCCUUCGAGUUGCUGCUUUCGAGUUCCACCUGAAGCUGCAAAGCAUUGAACACUUCAUUUCCUGUUCACACCAAUGUUUACAGUCCUUUCUCUCGCCAGUGCCAGAGUUGGGAGCAUGGGGUGAAGGUCAGAUGAGCAUUUCUAUGCCUGGCAGGAUGCUUAGGAUGAGGGGGCAGAUGCAUAGGGCCUUUAAUGGCUCGUGAGCCUUUCUGUGUUGGAGUGAACGUCUGAGGGCACUGACAGUCACACCACUGCUGUAUUGAUUGGCAACUGGCAUCUUGUAAGAAGCCAAGGGAUUUGGAGGGCUCCACAUUCAGUGUGCUCUUCUAUUCAGUCCCCUUCUGCAGGGACAGUCAAUUUAAUUAUGGAGGUAUGGGCUGGCUAUUAUUGUUAUCAGUGAUAAUGGUAAAUUAUCCUUCUAUUGGCUUAAGCUAUCCAUUUGUGUCCUGCCUCAGCAAUUACAUUUUAUGCUUGCAAGGGAUUGCGAGAAUGCUUACUUUUGAACACACUGGUUCUUUUUCUAUGCAGCACAAAAAUAAGCCAUUUUGUGGAAACAGAAAUGCUUGGUAGGACAUUGUGCACUUGGAGUAAUGUACAGUCGUAAGAAAGAUCAGCAUGGAAAACCAGGAUCCUGAGUUCUGGUCUCAGCCUGAUCUUGACUUGCUGGGUGAUAUUAGGGGUUGCUUCGCAGAUCCUCUUAAUUUGGUUUGAGAAGUUAGAAUCACCUGUAACUAUCAGGUAAAACAACAGUCUUGAAUGGAAGAAAAUGACAGCCGCCCGCUUAGAAGGUCAGUUGUUAGCUGUAACUAAAUGUUGUGUCACGAUGAUAGAAUAUUUUACAAGGUGUAGAACUUGGACGGGCAGUACAGAAACCAUGCUCCGUUAUAAUGUUGCCAACGGCUGCAGAUGUGUGUUUACAUAGGACAAAAAAUAAGAAUCUGUGUCAAAGAACAGCAUUUUUGCACUGUUCCUGCCACUGGUUCUGUAAGAGUAUAUAUUAAUUUUUAUUUUAUAGCUACCACUAAUCAAGGAGAUGGAUAUGAACGCUAGCCAAACAUGAUUCAGAUGAGAACAAGACUAAAAACAGAAGACAAACAACAUGUCCGUAACGUUUGCUGGCUCUCCAUAAUGCCUUACGUAAAAGAAAGUUGGUUAUCAGUUAUUCAUCAGGGAAUUUAUAUAUCGGUAGAAAUACAGAGGAGUGCUAGCUAGAACUGUACUGAAAUCAAAAGGGGAGUUAGGUUCAUAUAGAUACCAAACUUCAAGGAGAUCUAUGUAACAUUAAGACUGCCACCCACCUUUACCACUUGUUCACUGACACAUAUCCUGUAUUCCAUUAACCACGUAAUUCACCCCUCGCUGCACUCUUCAUUUGUUGUAGCCUCUCAGUUAAAUGCACUAUUUCUAUAUAAAGCCCAUCAUUAAUGAAUUUUAUUGACAGGUUGCUACUGAACAGCCUAGAGCGGGAGUUGGAGUGACUCAGAACAGGGAAGGCUGUGCAGCAUGCAACUCCCUGUGCAUGAAUUUGCAGAGAUAACGAGACGCAUUCUCAUCUUCUGAGUUUAGCUCCGCUGAUUUCAUGCUUUCCACUGGUGCAAAUCAGAUCCCUGCUGAUGUCUCUGACGCUGCCCAGCUUAGACUGUGGUGGUGGGUGCUGUGGGUUAGUCAUGGCCUUAUUCCUUCUGAACUCUUUGACUGUCUAGGGCUGAUCCUGGCUGUGAGGAAGACAGCGUUUACCAGUGUGGUUAGAAACUGCCCUCCCUUCUUGGCGUGUAGCUUGCAGGAAGGCAUCUCUGGCCAGGGCCACUUGUGUGGUGUCACCCUUAGCCACUGCAGCUGGGAGCUGCCUGAUACUUUCGCCAGUUGUAUGCAAUGGUGACAAAAAAGAGAGAGAGUGAGAGGGAGAAAUCCCCUAAUGACUGUGGAGGGAGUUACUGCUUGACUUUUCUAAGUUUUUAACGUUUUCUAAAGGUAAUGUCAUUAUAUAAUCUGGGAAAAAUAUGACCUUUAUGUCUAAAAUUUAGAAAUACAUUCAAGAAUAUUGUUGAAAUGUCCAGAACCCUGAGUGCUCAGAUACAGGCAGGAAGGUAAAAAAAGAUUAUUUUUUUUUUUUUUUUUUUAUAAUUACUGAGAUGAAAGAAUCUCACAGCUCAAUUUGCAAGUGUAAUUCUGAGUCCACAAAAAGCUGUAUUGUCACUCUUUCUUAUUAUUGGCAUAACUUUCAAAAUAAAAUAUCAAUGAAUAUGAAUGCAUAUGGAUACUAUGUUAUGAAGAAGGUAAUUAGAAAUAAAUGGGAAUCAUUGAUUAAACUGGUUAAUCUUACAAUGUACAGAACACUGUAAUUGGGUCCAUCACAUUUAGUCUUUUAACUGACAGCAGAAAAGGCACAGUUAAAGAUGUGGUAUGUUUACUUGUUAUUUCUUCCCUGAGUAUCUUUAUCUCUGGUUGUAUUAAAAUAAUCUGAUGUUUUACUUAAGUGCAUUCAGAAGCAGCGAAAUGCAUAGAAGUCAUUUAUCAUUUUAUUGAUAGAAGUUACUGUUAACUUACAAGCUUGAUGCUACCUGUUGGGAAAGUUGACAUCUGUUUCCCGGGAUAGUUGGUGCAGAAUGGAAGGCACACUUGGGUGUCGUCCUGAUGCUUUAUUAGCAUGAGGGGUCUGCCUCCUGCCUGGAAGGCCCUGGCCAGCCGUGGAGUGGAGCACCCAGAGUCCCUCCUGCUGUUGUAAUUUCUUGGGCUUAGGGUGUGGCCCUCUCCACCAUUUUUGAAACCACUUCUGUGUAGGUCCUUUGAAUUCUGUCACUGUCUGCUAGAUCCAUAAGGCCCCUCCAGCCUCUAUUACAUCAGUGCUGAACUCCACUUGGGUUUUUUUUCCUCUUUCUGUUACUUUUUCAGAGAAUCCCGAGGGUCCCGUUUGGUCGCUCAGUGGGAGAACGGAGGGUGGGAGAAAGCUUGCAAGGUCACCUCUGUUUGGAAGCAGCUCCCUUGGCCUUCAGCCCUCCCCUUCGCAGCUGGCUUUUAAAUGGCAAGAGAAAGUUUUGUUGAUGUGGCCCAGGGGAAAGGCCCACUUAGUGUACAGAGGCUCUGCAGAGUCCUCGUCAUUGGGCAGUGAUGAGAAAAGCUGCUCCAUGGUAGGGAAAGCCUUAUGUUUCUCUCUCGGUGCAUUACCACCGACUGCAGUGCCGUAUUUACUUUUGCCGGCUUUGAGAUAGGUGCAGUAUAUAAGCACUUUUGUGCUAGGGUGGGGUGUGAUCCUGCUCUGUUGGAGCCCAAGAGCUGGAAGUAUACUGUUUACUAACUGGGGUCCCAGAGGGUGCAAGGUGUGGGUCUACCACUGCUUGUCCUAUGCUAAGUAGUGAUCACACACUGACUUUUAGGCAACCUCACUAGCAAGGUCUAAAGUAAUCCUAUUUCUGUGGCUUCAGGAGUUACUGCUGUGCUGCUGAGUCACUGUAACCUGCUUGGCGCUCACUCAUAGCCAGUGCUCACUGCCAGAAAUGCUUUAGCACAGACUAUCUUUAAGCUAAGUCUUUCUUCACAAUCGCAAGUGAAUACUGGGCAUGGUCAUGACACAGGCGAUAAGCAGUAACACCUGAAGCCGUAGUAACUUGAUUGCCUUUGGUUAUACAUGUAACACAGUAAGAAUCUCUUUUCAGCAAGAGAGAGAACUUUUUUCAUUUCUUAACAAUUUGGGAUCAAAUUUAUCCCAGUGGAGUUCUAUACAGGGUAAAUUGAUAGUGCUAAAAUUAAGAAGGAAAGAAUAAAUAAUUUUUAAGGAAUAGCUAAGGAACAUUUUUCUACUUUGAAUAAAUAACAGAUACAUUUUUUUUGUGGAAAGACUUAGUGUUCAGCAGAAAAAGAGAUAAACCGUAAAAUUUACUGGGUAAUUUUACCCAGUAAAUACUGGUAAAACCCCAUAAUUUUACUGGGUAAAAGGACAGGGAAAUUUCUUUCACUAUUUUCAGGUGUUUGUAGUGUUUAGGUUAAUCAGUAAAUUUGGUAAAAUCCUUCUUUGUCCCAUAGGUAGAGGGUCCGUAUGAAACUUGAGGCCUCCGGGAGGAGGAAGGAAGUUUUAUGCAAGCGUUUGAACAACGCAGGUGGACUGAGGGAAGCAGAAGAAAAAGGCCAGGUCCCACAGGACAGUUACAGCCACCCACGCAGCAGUGUUGAUCUCUCUCUGAGUCGUGGUUAUCAACCAGGAUUUGACUACUUCCAAGAUGAAAGUAUUAAAAUAGAAGAAAAUCAAUUAGAAAAUGUUGACAAUUAGUUAGUAGAGGGAAAUGUCGAGGAAAAAAGAGAAGGAAGGAAGAGAUGCCAAUGUGGAUAAAACGUCAGCGAAAGAGGUCAGGGGGAUGUUCCAGCGAAGCAGCACACAGAGGUGAGUUGGUAUUUGAACGUGCAGGGAAUGAGGCAAGGAGGGAACAGGGCAGUUUGGUUCCAUGAUGUACGGUUGGAGGCUAAACAGCUGUUAAAGGGAACAUACAAAGGCAUUUGGAAAAUGAGUGCUGUGUGUAGGCAAGGUUUUGAAGUGUGGAUGGAAAUGAUGACACAAAAAUUUUAGUUUCUUUAAAAAUGAAGAAAGUAGUUUUAAUGCUGUGUUGGAGGACAAAGUGAAAAGUUGCAAGUCUGAAAAUGGCAAAUGCUUGCCCAGAGCUAUAAACGUGACCAUCACUGUUUGUGCUCUAGUACUCAGAGUAUUUACAUGACCACAUGCUCUUUUUCAGUUAAAAUAAUAUAUUUGGCAGUAACAUACCACUUCUGCACUAUGCUACAUUAUGCAUAGGUAUAUCUUCAGAUGACUGAGGAAAAAACCUAAAUGUUACUGAGGUACAAAGGGAAAUUAGUUCAGAUAUUUAGUAUCUAGAUUUUACUUUUGUAUUUCACAGCAUGGUAGCAAAAACAUGGCAGAUUUUUCUUGGAAAAUUAGGAUGCAUUCCAGCAGAAACUGAUGCAGAGACUCAGCUUUUUCUAAAAAAUAGCUUCCACUAUUCCCUGUAGCUCAGAAUUUAGAGCUUGCAGGAUCAGAGCCUAACAAGACACAUAUCCUUCUUACUGUUUGGGUUCUUUUUUCCCUCUAGGAAAACAAAACUCUCCAUGUCUCCAUGUUAAAAUGAUUGGAAAUUGAACUUAAGGGGAUCUAGCAUGUGAUUACUUUUUUUAGACAGGAUUUUCUUUGUAGCUGAAUUGGACUGUGUCUUUUUUUUCUCCCAAACCAGAUGGGGGAGUUGUUUGGGGGAGUUUGCCUCUUGGGCUAUGUGGCUGUUGAUGUGGUGGUGCAAGGUGGCAGAAGGACACACAAUCCUGCGGGAUGCUGCUGUGCGGGAUGGCGUGUCGGUCCCGUCUGGGGUCAGACAGCCUGCUGGGAGGAACAAGAGCUUGUUUGGCCAGCGCUCUCUGUGUGUUAGUGACAGUACAAGCGUGGAUGGUGUGGAGAGACGUCCAGUUUUGUUGGGACACAAGUGCGAGCCCAGAGCUGAUGGGAUGCAGCUCUCUGGGACAGGAGGAGCUGUCUCUGCGCCUGAGCCAGCGGGCACUGCUGGAAUAGAGAGAGCAGCUUUCCUUCCACUCCGCGUCUAGGUGAACCCAGUGAAGCAGAUGGAUGGCAUGAGGGGUCCUGUGUUUCUCUGGUUGGCACCAGGGAAGAGACAAUGUCCUGCUGCUCUUGGUUUGAGGUGUAUCUAUCCACAGCACAUACAGAACUUGGUCUAGACAGCUUGGAUAAUUUAUAAGCCUUGGAAAUAGCAUCCUAUAAGGACUUGUACAGGACAAACUGCUGUGUUUUUGGCAGGAGAGCCUCCCUUCCACAUCACAGCGGAUGUUCUUACAUGGGCCUGUUGGGGAGAGGUGUCACUUAAGUGGUGAAGAAACAGGAGUCCAUCACAUUGCACCAUACACCAGCCUAGUGAGAAGAGGGCUUUACGCUCAGUUUGAAAAAGGCCAGUGCAAAAGUUACCUGGAAGUACCUAUUUAAUUGACUGCACGGAUUUGCAACCAGCAGUUCAGCAGCUGCUUCAUGAGCCAUCCUUGCAAGGAGGGGAACCUCAGAGAGAUGGAUCCCUUUAACUCGAAAGAUAUGGCAGGUUGUGAUAGCGGACUGCAGUGAAGUCCCACCUGUGCUCUUCUGCCCUUCCUGAGUGAGCAGUGCUGGCGCUGUGCAGAUGCCGUGCACGUGCCCUUUUUGUGACUACACAUGUGCUGAAAGAGUUUGUUCCGGUUUGUUAGAGCCAGAUGUAAAAAUGCUGCAUCCAGCUAUCUCCAUCCCCUGCAAACCGCCUUCUGUGAGCACCUUUCCUCCUUGUCGCCCUCUCCUCUGAGCCCUCUGAUCUCUGCCGGGCUGUGAUGUGAGUGCUUUCAGUGCCACAGAGGAACUGUUUGAUGAAUCCAGCAUGGUGCAAAGCUCCUGAGGGAGACAGCGGCAGCAGCGAGGAGCUCCAUUUGUUAGAGAAAACAUUUGACAAGCCGUACGAGAAGCAGCCUGAGCGGUCAGUGGGCACAGUCCCGUCCUCUCUUUCAGUUGUGUUUGAACACAAGAGUGGUCCCCUCAGAGUGGGCUCUCGUAGCAGGUCAGCUCGGCUCAGGAUGUGCUGGUGGUUCCCAACAACACGUGCAGGAGGGAAAGGCCGCGUGCGGACCAGCCGUGCGCUGGCAGGAGAGCACAGAGGUAGUGUGGAGGUUUGCAUGGUCAGAUGGGCUGACAUGGAGGGACAGAGAGCGUAUUUUUGGGUUUGUACACACCCUGUUUUCAUGCAAACAUUUCAUGCAGAUUUGUAACAUGCAAUAGCUGCCAAGCAUCUUUUACAUAGUCACAGUCUAGUGACUGAGGGAUCCACUAAUUAAGAAGCCCCUAAUUAGGCUUUUAAAUGAUAAACUGUAAUAGCUCUAGUGCAGCUGUUGUAAACUAUAGAGUAAAUUAUACGCAGUUGAAAGAGGCUUUAAUUACGUAUUUAUAUAACAGACUUUAAGGACUUCGAAAGAUAAAAGAAUUUUUAGUAUCUGCAAUUAAAAAACAAAGAGAGUAACAAUAGAGCUCUUAAACCAAUGAAAGCAAGGAAAUUCAAAGUUAAUCUGAAAAGCUGCACUGGUACUUUCUUUUAUGCUCAUGGCGUUCUAAUUUUGGGGGGGUUGGUUUUCUUCUUUUUUACUUUCAUAAUGGCUGAAAUAAAGAAGUAUUGUCAGUUUAUGUCCCCUGCUCUCGAUUUCCUAGCUUUUAUAGAUCCAUGUACACCAUUAAUGGUACUUUGGCGAACUUUCUGUGGUUUCAUUUUUGCAGAAAUCCAAGCAAGAUGACCCUUAUCAGCAAGCUUUUCUCCUUGCAUCCUGAUUUACUGAAUGGUUAGUUGUACACAUGCCUUUGUGAAGUCAACAGCUCAAAAAUUGGUUGUACUGGGCCCUUGGAGGCCAUGUUCAGGCCAAAUCUAGCCUGCACACUGUUGGUGCAGUUUUGGCAGCCAUUCACCGUGCUGUGCUUACCAAGUGGAGACAAGGUUUGGAUGUAUCUGGGACUAUUCAACUAUUUGGAGAUUGCACUCUGGGCUUCUUUUUCACAGGGCUCAGUCCUGCUCCACUGAAAUGGAAGAGAGUUUAGCCCUUGCCCACCUUUGUGGCUGGACCAGACUGCACUCUGUCUACCCCUUCAACAUGAGCACUGCUCCUCUUGCCCUUGCUCUGCCUGAAAGCUCCUCUCUUGGUAACCUCACCAGUUCUGUCUCUAAACUCAUAUCUGCCCUCAGCCUCCCUCGUUUGCCCAGCCCCGUUUGCUGCCCUUCAUUGCCACCUCCCAUCACAACCAACACUGAUGCACUGCAGUGAACAAAUGCCUCUUUACAGAGAAAUAUGUCUCUGAUGCGCCAUCCAUUGCCUGAUGGCUUUGCUCAUCUGUUGCCAGUUCUUUUCCUUUCUUAGGUUACUGCUGCUCAGGAUGGGGCUGUGCCUUUUGUGCCUGUGUGGUGCCUCCGCACAGAGGAUACAGACAUCAGCGACGUGCAGAGAGCUCAGUACCUUUAGCUGCUCUCAGGGACUGGCCUUCACAGCUGUAGGACUCAGCAGCCCAUGACAGCCCAACAAGGUAGUGCUUUUUGCUUAUUCCAGCCACAUCCAAGUAUUUUUAUCUGGAAAUGUCACAGCAAGGGAAAUAAGGAAUACAGUUCUCAUAGUUAAUUUUUAUGGCUGAUUAAUUAGCCCAAAGAGUAUUAAAUUGUGCUAAUGUAGUUUGCCUCUUCGAUGCUGUCUUUUGACUUCAAUGGAACUAAAUACAUGCUUAAAGUUAACUACAUGCCUAAGUGCUGUGGCGAAUCGGGGCCUAGGGCAUUAAUUAGAACUUGGCUCAGAUUUACUUUCAAGGCUUUCCCCCCUCUUUUUUUUUUUUUUUUAACUCUUCAGCGCUCAGCAGUUUAAUUGGUAUGCAGAUGUUCCCCUUUAUUGCUGGCAGAGGCCUCUGUCACUGUUCUGAAGGUACUCAGACAUCAAGGCUGGUACAGUGGGCAGGAAGAAACCCCCCCUGAAGGCUUUCAAGCUUUGUGGGAAAUAAUGAUGUAUGAGACAGGGAUUCCUUUGGAACCUGAAGGGAACAUGACAGACAGAAUAAUAUGGGAGGAAAACAUUGUCUUCACAAUUGAGACUGAUGGUCUCAUCUUGUCUCCUUGUUAUUGUUACCAACCAAGACUGAGAUGAGCUUUCUUAUGAAGAACUUCAUUUCGUGGCAGGUUCUAUAUGUUGGACACACUGCGCUCAGUGGUAGCUUUCCAUCCAAGGUACAGAUAUUGACAGGCUCUGAGGAACCCUUUGGGGUGGUGUUUUAGCUUAAAACCUAAAAUUCCUUCCCGCAUUGAGAUGCAUUUUGUCAGGAAUGACAGUUACAAUUUGAUAAUCUUUUACCUCUUUGCCUGCCUAUCUCAAACAGCUAGCUGGAGGGGAGAAACCCAGAGUUGUUGGGGACAGGAGUGUCAGCUUUAUGAAUCAACUUUUCUCGCACUUUAUUAAUUUCACUUUCCAGUGGUUAGUGCAUGUUUGCAAGAGACAAUUGAUUUGUACAGAUCUGUGGAGGAUGGAGCAAAGCUGGAACUAAGGGAGGAGUGCAAGUUGACAGCAGUGCAAUAGCUCUAAUUGGCAGAUACCAAAGACUUUUUACAGCAACUUUUCUUCUGCUAUUUAGGUUAAAAAUGGCCCUCAAUUUGUCCUCCGAUCGCCACGUUCAAAAAUAAGUGUUUUCAUGUAUAUUCAUUUCAAAUGGAUUAGCUUGAAAUAUCAAACACUCAUUUUCUAUACUUGUAUUUUCAAGUUAGAUGAUUCAAAAUCCUGUUGUGCAAAGUACAGGAAGAUGGCUGUUUCUGAACUCCUCCAGAGUAAAAGCUGUCUUUCAGGGGACACUUUGCACAUGUGAGAUUUGUGUUAGUAUUUUUUGGCACCCACAGUUUCAUCAGAAAUGCAUUUCAGCUAAUGGGAGGCAGAAGGACUAAUACACGUGCUGCGUGUUGUGGGUGCAAAAAUGCAAAUGGAAAUUACACCCACCACGGAACGGGCUAGGAAAAUGUACAUUCCUGGAUGUGAGCAGGGCAGGUUAGGAAACAUCAUCUUCCUUUUACAAUUGGCUGUUACUCUUUACAUUUCUGGAGAACUGGGAUCUUGCUGUUAAUCUUACAAAAAUAGAUGCUGUGGUGAAGCCUCAGGCAUGAAUAAAAUUGGAUGUUAAUCUCAAAGCAGAUUUUUUACAGCUAUGCACUCAGAGCCAGUGAAUCCAAAUGAUUUUGGAAACCCUGUGUUUGUUACUUAUUUAGAUCAAAAUGCCAGGAGGAAAGAGGUCGGUGGUCCAGGUACAUAUUGUAACAUUUGGGGCUCCUUAAAGUUGAACAGAUAAGCGCAGCAAACAUUAAACAUCUCUGGCUUGACACAAAUAAUAGGCAAAGCUGAAAAAAGCCUGCUGACAAGAGGAGUGGGUGUUGGUGGGUGACUUGCUGCAGUUUUAGAGCUGUUAAGUGUAGGUUUUUUAGCAUUUUCAUUAUUUAAAAGUGGAGUGGUAGUUUCUUCACUCCCUCUGAAAAGUUACUAAUUUACUCUGAAAUACAGGGUAACCCACAAUGAUUUAACAGAUUUGUAAUGUGCUUUACAGUGAUUUCAAGUAACAGACACCCUCCUUCUCUCCAAGCUUCCCACCGUCUCUGCUCUGCCCUCGCUCCUUUCUCUGUGUACAUCUGGACCAAAAUGCAAAGCAGGGGGUGCCCUACGUGUGGCUUUCAUCCUUCUAGCUCCAGUGGCAACAGGUUGGGUGGCUUUGACCACUGGUGCUCAUGCAGGUUUUCCUCGUUCCCUGUGUUCAGAAACAGAGGCUGAGUUAGCUACGUUUGGAUGUUGGGAAUGGCAUCCCAGAGCAUGGAGUGGUUAAAAAGCUGCUGCUCUGCAGGUACUGCUGCAAGUGGACAGGCCUUCCCCGAUGCGCAGAGGCUGCCUAGUGUGUGGAAAGUGCUUAGCGGAGCAUGGCUGAGGACCAUGAUUAAAGUCCCCAGGAUGCUCCUGGAAUACAGGCAACGUUAAGUAAUCUGCAGUCGUCUGUGUCUGAUUCAGAGCAGGCAGCUGGAUUAUGUUCCCAAGGGGCUGUCCAAAAAGAUGGGCAGCCUGCGGGGGUGGUAGGCGGUCAGGGGAUUUUUCUCUGGUUGUUAAGCUGAACGGUUCUCAGCUAUCUCAUGCUUCAUCCCACUUGUGCCUACGUAUUGCUGUGCUGAAUAACUGUGCCUAUGGCAGGAUGCUUAAGCCGGAGGGCCUUCGCAUGACUGACAUUUAAAUUUGAUGGAGCCUUGCUGAGAAGGAGCCGGCCUUGCAUUUACUCAGAGAGGUCUCUGGUGGUUUGUGGUAAGGAAUUGGGACCUGGGGCUGAAGCCACAACCUCCAGGACUAAACCACAGAAUUUACACAACUGCCAAGGCCUCCCCAUUUGCCUUCCCAGCCGAUGGUCUGUGUCACCACACAACUGCUGCUUUUCUCCCUGCUCUUGUCAUUGCUGUUUGAGGGAAGAAUCUAUUUUGUUUAAUACAGCAAUGUUGUCUAGCUUAGUUUAAUUCUAUUAACUGCUGAUCAUUUGUUACUAUUCAGUGCAUCCAUGCAUUUGUUUAGGUAGAAAUACUUGAAUGGAAAGGUAGAUGGAAAUGCUGAAAAGGUUCUGGAGGACUCCAGAGUUUCUUUUGCUCUUCUUUUUUCCCCUGUUCUAGGAGGCCUGGAGAACGCUUAUCCAUUCGUAACAGAAACUAUUCAAGAUCUAUGGCCCUGAAAGGUCACUGUAAGUUUCUAUUGCUCUUCUGGUGUGACUGGUAUAGAUCGUGUCUUCUAGUUUUCUAGCAAACUUUAAGGAAGAAAGCUUUUGUUACAGGAGAGAUGGUAAGUUUGUGCACCCAGCCUCUAUUUGGAAGAAUAGUUUGUUGUGAAACCUUUCUUCUUACAGGGGCCUGAGCCAACUGCUUUUGAUCUGGCAGCUUACAGUGUGGGUAAGCGUGGCCAUAUUAGCCUGGAGAGAUGUCACCCUCAGGGAUUCGCAUAUGUGACUGUUCUUGACCUGAACUGGAGAAGGGCCAGAGUUUGUUCGCUUUCACUUUCUGUCACUGAGAAAAAUUAAUGCUGUUCUACAAAACCUAUAAUUUCUUCCUUUCUUCCCAAGUAGAUGAUGACUAAAGAAGGCCUGAACUGAGUAGAGAUAUUCUUAUAUUUACUUGAAAUGAAUGUAGCUCAUAACUCUUAUUUUAGCACCAAUCUGGAACACUACUGUGAACAGAUUUACAAUGUCUGCCUGUUCCUUACCUUGGCAUUCUGGCAUUUAUGCUCAUUCUUGCACUGAUACUUGGGAGUUUAAUGAAGCCAAAUGUCUGAAAGGUGAGUAGGUAAAAGGUAGAUACUUUCAUAUACAAACCUAUUCCUUUUGUGUGCUCCAUAAUCUUCUUUUAGUUCUUAAAUAUGGUUUUAUUCUUCUGAUACUAAGGGUCUCAGCACUGAUUUUUGUUCUGGUAUGUGUGUCAUCAGCAGAGUUAUUAGCUGUGCUCCAGUUGCAGGGUCCUUUGUUGCUGGAUUGAAAAGAUCUACUAACUUCAACCGCGUGUUUUUAGACUAGACACUUAAAAAAACCCUUUACUUGUGUUUAUAGAAGAACAGAUUUAAUCUGGAAGUCAUUGAGAGAAACCAAUAAAGAACUUCCUUGAUGUGAUUUUUGGAGUUACUCUGUGGAACUGAAUUGCAUGUUUUCAGGACUAGGCUGAAUCAAAGCCUCUGACAACAAUUAGAGCUGAAAUACUGAAUUAACAUACCGAAUAGUAGCGCGUCAAGAGUAUAGUCUUCUACUCAGGACAGGGUUGGGAUGUACCUUGCUCAUAGAAGCUCUGGAAAUGUUGUGAGACUUGGACAAACACAGCCCAUCCUCGGUCUGCAGGGACGUUGCUGCUCUCUGAGCGCUGCACACUCGGAGCGUGUUCUUGGCUGAUGGAAAUCUGCCCAGUAUUGGGUUCGGUUCUCUCGAUGAGACCCCUGCACCUUCACCUAGAUUCCUCCCUGGCUAGCUGCGGUGAAUGGAUCUGACCACCGAGGGAAGCUGGCCCACUGAAUUCCUUUUCUUUUCUGUGCAGUUGAAUGAAAAGCGUGUGUCUUUUGAAGAACAGUGACUGAAAGAAAUAUUGAUGACUGCCAGGGGAUCUACAGAAAAGGAUAAGAAAAUUACUCUACUACAACAGGGAAGACAAAGGGGCUUUGUUAACUCUUUCUUAAAGAAAAGCACAGCACUCCUGCCUGUUACCCCUGUGAUGGAAAUGCGAGGACACCUGUGAAUCGUCAGCACCUAUGAAUCCAAGCUGCAUGGCAGCUACAGGCAUGAGAAGCAUGAAUGGCGACAGGCGGGCUUGCCACCCCGGGCAAUGUAAAGCUGGCAGAACAAGUGGGAUGCAGGAGCAAAAGCCCGACUGGUCCAGAGAGGCAGCUGCAGCAGAGAGCACCAGAGCACCAACUCUGCACACUUGUAAAAGACAA